rnacentral:tRNA from 1 species
AAAGUUUUAGUUUAUUUAAAAUAUAAGUCUGUCAGACUUAAGAUUAAAGCUUUU